AUUGAGUGGUAUGGAAAUCAAGCUGAUCAAUCCAUCAAAGAUUUGCUCUUCUUCAUCUUGCUCUUUACUUACGGCGAAGGAGAUUAGUCGCGAUUGAGCAACAUGCUUCGCCAUCCAGCCAAACAUUCAAAGGAAUGCGCUAAAUCUAAAACAGGAUUCCUUUGGCAGCAGCUCUAACCUGUUAUUCGUAAUGAACGUCACACGCUGCUGUGUAAUUACAUCGCCAACAUGCACGGCAAUGGGGCAAUCAGGUUACGGCAGAAAAUGCGUGCAGGGCUGACCAGAAGCGUUCAUCGUGAGGAGUUCGUGACCGCGGGAGACAGAAAACCGGUCUUCGAAACAACGAGCCAACCCCAAAUGGGCCUUAAGACUAGAACAUUAUACCAACCAUUUCAGACAAGGUUACAGAGAACGAUUGGAGAAGUUCCACAUCAGGAGGAGAGUGAAUUAGCAAUUAAAAUAACCGCCGGCACUGCACGGCGGUGGAUCAGAUAUUUCGUAAUGCCAGCCAUUUCAAAUCAUUC